UACGUAGGGUGCGAGCGUUGUCCGGAAUUACUGGGCGUAAAGAGCUCGUAGGUGGUUUGUCGCGUUGUUCGUGAAAUCUCACGGCUUAACUGUGAGCGUGCGGGCGAUACGGGCAGACUAGAGUACUGCAGGGGAGACUGGAAUUCCUGGUGUAGCGGUGGAAUGCGCAGAUAUCAGGAGGAACACCCGUAGCGAAGGCGGCACUCUGGGCCGAUACUGACACUGAGGAGCGAAAGCGUGGGGAGCGAACAGG
rnacentral:rRNA from 1 species